rnacentral:rRNA from 1 species
AGUGAACGCUGGCGGUAGGCCUAACACAUGCAAGUCGAACGGCAGCACAGUAAGAGCUUGCUCUUACGGGUGGCGAGUGGCGGACGGGUGAGGCAUACAUCGGAAUCUACUUUUUCGUGGGGGAUAACGUAGGGAAACUUACGCUAAUACCGCAUACGACCUACGGGUGAAAGCAGGGGUUCUUCGGACCUUGCGCGACUGAAUGAGCCGAUGUCGGAUUAGCUAGUUGGCGGGGUAAAGGCCCACCAAGGCGACGAUCCGUAGCUGGUCUGAGAGGAUGAUCGGCCACACUGGAACUGAGACACGGUCCAGACUCCUACGGGAGGCAGCAGUGGGGAAUAUUGGACAAUGGGCGCAAGCCUGAUCCAGCCAUACCGCGUGAGUGAAGAAGGCCUUCGGGUUGUAAAGCCCUUUUGUUGGGAAAGAAAAGCAGCAGGUUAAUACCCCGCUGUUCUGACGGUACCCAAAGAGUAAGCACCGGCUAACUUCGUG